rnacentral:lncRNA from 1 species
GUGCACUACAGUAGUGCACAGGUACAGGACAGUAAAGUACUGUAACACUGUACAAAGCAGUGCACUACAGUAGUGCACAGGUACAGGACAAUACAGUACUGUAACACUGUACAAACCAGUGCACUACAGUAGUGCACAGGCACACGUAGUUCAUCAGUGUUCCGGUAUAGUGCAAUACAUGUACAGUACAAUACAGAUCGAAUGUAGUGCACUACAAUAGUGUGCAGAUACAGUAGAAAUGCAGUGCAGUGCUACUGUAGAAAUGUAUGGGCACAGUGCACUGCAGUGUCACACAGGUACAGUGCAGUGCAAACAGUAGGGUACACAUACAGUGCAGUGCGCUACAGUAGUGUACAGAUACAGUGGAGUGUUGCAGAGCUUCAGUGCAGUAACGUACAGUGCAGUACAGACAUGGAGUGGUGUAUUUCAGUACUGCAGAGCUGCAGUAUUGUCUGCUGUAGUACUGCAGUGUAGUACACUACAAUACAGAUACAUUGAUUUACAGUGCAUUACAACACAUCGUGCAGUUAUACAGUGGUCAGAUUUAGUAAUACAGUACUAUAGUGCAGUGUGUUCAGAUUUAGUAAUACAGUACUAUAGUGCAGUGUGUUCAGAUAUAGUCAUACAGCGAAGUAGAGUAGAGAGGUCCAGUACAGUGUGGAAAUCCAGAGUAAUUCAGCACAGUAGAGCAGAGAGGUCCAGAGUAAUUCAGCACAGUAGAGUAGAGAGGUCCAGUACAGUGUGCACAUCCAGAGUAACAGCGCAGUAGAGUAGAGAAGCCCAGAGUAAUUCAGUGCAGUAGAGUAGAGAGGUCCAGAGUACUUCAGCGCACGUGUGUUGUCCUGUACUGAGGCAGAGAAGGUGGGGUGACAGUAUCACCGGGGGCAGACUACAGGCCACUGCACUCUGCGGCACUUGUGCAGGGCCCUACUACUACUGCUGCUCCACACAGCGCAGGUCAGAGGUCACGGCAACACGCAGCAGGGUGCUGGUCAACACCAGAGCGCCCUCUCUGGUACAACGCAGACACUG